AGAGUUUGAUCCUGGCUCAGGACGAACGCUGGCGGCGUGCUUAACACAUGCAAGUCGAACGGAGUGUGCCGGGUAGUAAUACCCUGUACAUCUAGUGGCGAACGGGUGCGUAACACGUGAGUAACCUACCCCGAAGUCUGGAAUAACACCGGGAACCGGAUGCUAAUAACCAGAUGCCCUCCCUCUGAUCACAUGAUCGGUUGGAGGAAAGUUUUUACGUCUUCGGGAGGGGCGUCGCGGCCUAUCAGCUUGUUGGUGAGGUAACGGCUCACCAAGGCUUCGACGGGUAGCUGGUCUGAGAGGACGAUCAGCCACACUGGGACUGAGACACGGCCCAGACUCCUACGGGAGGCGAC
rnacentral:rRNA from 1 species